GACGGAGGGCGCAAGCGUUGCUCGGAAUUACUGGGCGUAAAGCGCGGGCAGGCGGUCUGUUAAGUCGUUUGUGAAAAUCCGGGGCUCAACCCCGGAAAUGCAUACGAUACUGGCAGGCUGGAGACCGGUAGAGGCUGGCGGAAUUCCUGGUGUAGCGGUGGAAUGCGUAGAUAUCAGGAAGAACACCUGUGGCGAAGGCGGCUAGCUGGGCCGGGUCUGACGCUCAUCCGCGAAAGCGUGGGGAGCAAACAGG
rnacentral:rRNA from 1 species